rnacentral:rRNA from 1 species
AGUGAGGAAUAUUGGUCAAUGGGCGCGAGCCUGAACCAGCCAUCCCGCGUGCAGGAUGACGGCCCUAUGGGUUGUAAACUGCUUUUCUACGCCAAGAAAGGCCCCGACGUGUCGGGGAUUGACGGUAACGUAGGAAUAAGCAUCGGCUAACUCCGUGCCAGCAGCCGCGGUAAUACGGAGGAUGCAAGCGUUAUCCGGAUUCAUUGGGUUUAAAGGGUGCGCAGGCGGGCUUGUAAGUCAGUGGUGAAAUACUGCCGCUUAACGGUAGAAUUGCCAUUGAUACUGCGGGUCUUGAGUAUGGUUGAGGUAGGCGGAAUGUGCAGUGUAGCGGUGAAAUGCAUAGAGAUUGCACAGAACACCGAUUGCGGAGGCAGCUUACUAAGCCAUAACUGACGCUGAGGCACGAAAGCGUGGGGAGCGAACAGGAUUAGAUACCCUGGUAGUCCACGCUGUAAACGAUGUUCACUCGCUGUUUGCGAUACACAGUAAGCGGCUUAGCGAAAGCAUUAAGUGAACCACCUGGGGAGUACGAUCGCAAGGUUG